rnacentral:rRNA from 1 species
GACGAACGCUGGCGGCGUGCCUAAUACAUGCAAGUAGAACGCUGAAGGAGGAGCUUGCUCUUCUGGAUGAGUUGCGAACGGGUGAGUAACGCGUAGGUAACCUGCAUGGUAGCGGGGGAUAACUAUUGGAAACGAUAGCUAAUACCGCAUAAGAGUAGAUGUUGCAUGACAUUUACUUAAAAGGUGCAAUUGCAUCACUACCAGAUGGACCUGCGUUGUAUUAGCUAGUUGGUGGGGUAACAGCUUACCAAGGCGACGAUACAUAGCCGACCUGAGAGGGGGAUCGGCCACACUGGGACUGAGACACGGCCCAGACUCCUACGGGAGGCAGCAGUAGGGAAUCUUCGGCAAUGGACGGAAGUCUGACCGAGCAACGCCGCGUGAGUGAAGAAGGGUUUCGGAUCGUAAAGCUCUGUUGUAAGAGAAGAACGAGUGUGAGAGUGGAAAGUUCACACUGUGACGGUAUCUUACCAGAAAGGGACGGCUAACUACGUG